rnacentral:rRNA from 1 species
UACGUAGGUGACAAGCGUUGCCCGGAUUUACUGGGCGUAAAGAGCGCGCAGGCGGUCGUUCAAGUCGAGUGUGAAAGCCCCCGGCUCAACUGGGGAGGGUCACUCGAUACUGAUCGACUCGAAGGCAGGAGAGGGAAGUGGAAUUCCCGGUGUAGUGGUGAAAUGCGUAGAUAUCGGGAGGAACACCAGUGGCGAAGGCGACUUCCUGGCCUGUUCUUGACGCUGAGGCGCGAAAGCUAGGGGAGCAAACGGG